UCCCAGCUUUGAUAGAGAGGACAGACGCCUCGUUAUUCCAGCAGACCUGGUAUUGUUCUUCAAUUCUUAAUCCCAACGACUACACGGAUCUCUAUUCACCAUCCAGCUCAAAGAUUCCUAUUCACCAUCCAGCUCAAAGAUUCCUCUUCACCAUCCAGCUCUAUUAAACACCAGGUAUGUCUCCUCAAAUCUUGAGCUAUUUCGAAGGUUAUGAUUAACAAAGGGAAGUGUGCGAUUAACUAACCCACUAGAUUCAUCUUUUCGUUUUUUGGUCGAAUAGAUUUAUCUAUUUGAAUUGUUCUCUUUCUUGAAAAAAAAAAUAUUCUGUUGAAUAUGCAACUUGUUUCCAGUCAAGCACAGAUAACUUAAAAGGAAUGAACAAUAGAAAGAAAUUCAAGAGAAUAAUUUAACAAAAAUCGAUUGUUUCAACAUCCAAUCGUACAACACACCUUUUUCACUGCGUUCAUGGAUGGUUGCAGAAGCCUCUGAUUAUAAGAUGCAAGACAUACAGAACAAAACAUCACAACACUAAUGGUCAAGACGCAUUUCACAAUCAUUAGGUGAAUAUAUCUUUUCAACACAACAAUAACCUCCUACAGACAACAAAUAGACAUCUUAGAUUGCAUGAGAUCAGCUUGCAACUCUAAAACCAACGAAAACUAAAUGUUUGGUUGCUUUUGAUGUUCUCGUUAGAGCCCGUAGUCUUCCUUCUCUUAAGUGAAAAUCCAAGCAUCACAUCCAUUUCCUGAGGCUUACUAUUACAUUUUAGUCCAUGUCGUCUCAAUCCCUUCAACGUAUGGGAUGAUAUUGUGUGAUACCACGUUUUGGUGGCAAUUUCCGAAGAAUGAAAAGAACCAAUGAAGAUGGUACAAUCUCCACCAGCUGCAACGAAAAGUAUGUUGAAGUUAAGGGUUGCGCAAAAAAUAUCUACGUCACAACAAAAUGAAUCGCCUAGCACCUUCCUAGUACAAUUUUAUAACAGAACAUUCUAUAAAAUUAAAGUUCUCUUCUUCUGCAAGCAUCAAGUGUGACCAAGAACCAAAACUUACCAGGUAAUAUAUGAAGUUUAGAAUUGGAUGAUCCAAUACAUCAAGAUUUGCAGCUUUAUCAAAUGCAUUGAAGCACAUCUGGUACAUAGGAAAAUGACAGUACAAGCCAAUGUUAAAUGAACUUCAUUCAGAAGAACAAAGACAUCAGAAACAUAGAUGCGACUCUUAUGACUGCUGCCAAAUAAAUAGCUUGAAUAACAGCCAACUUAUUGCUAAUGAUAAUACAACUCGGUGACAGUUGUGCAACCAAUUUAUGAAUUUUUCAAGUUGUCAUUUAGCUAACCACUAGCUUUGAAAAUACUUCCAUCAAAAUUUUGCAAGCAAAAAUACAAACUCACCAUAAUGCAUCUAACCAGGAAGCAUGAGAAACAUAUGGUGGUCACAUAGCCAACCUGUCCAGAAGAAAAGCAAAAACAACACUUGACAACUAACAAAAGUGUAAACAGGUGAGUAUAAUAAGUCCAAUUACUAUCCAAACAAAAAAUACCUCUUGCAACUUCUUACGCCUCCCUUUAGAUUCUACAGGGAACCGCUGCAACAUCAAGAAAAGCCUACCACAAGAUGAAGUUAAGAUAUUACAUCAGAAUGCCAUCUAAUUAUUAGAGGCAAGCAGAGAUGCCAAUGCAUACAGUUAUCAGAAGAACACAGCUAAUUGAACCAAUAUGAAGGUAUUACAAUACAUUCCCCUUUAAACUUAGAUGUCCUCAAAAUGACCCCAAUGGGCCUACUGUUUCAUCUUAGCAUAACCCAUAACAUGCUAAGAGAUUCAAGAAACCACUUCAUAGGCAAACCUUGACCUUGAUUAAGACCAGCUAUAAAAUACAGUCUGACAAUCUCAAGGACACAAAUGAAAAGAAUAUAUGCCAGUCAGAUUCUCUUGCUAGUCUCACUGGACCUGGUCUGACCAUUCUCUUGUUGUCUUGCUUUCUACCUUGGGUUUCUUUUUCUCUUUUCCCCCUUCUGCUGUGAUGGAAUAUGAUAGAAAAUAGAGGGAGUAAUGGGCUACUCAAGAAGUGUCUUUAAGUUCCCCUCAACCAAAUGACACUGACAGUAGUAGUGAAAAAUAUAAUACAUGCCUUGACAAUACUGCAUUAAGCAACAAGUAAAAGCUUAAAAAAAUCUACUGAACUCACUUUGUUAGGCAAAUCCCAUCAGAUCAAACUCAGAUGUACUCAGCAUACAUAACAACCGGGAAUUUGUCUCACAUGCAAGGAAGACAUCAAAAUACCUCUUCCCCUAAGCAAAUAGAUAAUUAAUGAAGAAUACAAUAUAACUCUCAAAGGGGAUUUAAACAAUUCUCAAUUUUUUAUUAUUCCUCAAAAUCAAUUGUCAGUCAUAUCCUAUCUAAAGACAAAGAAGUUAUAGAUAUUUUCAGUAGACUUGUGAAUCCUAUUAGUCCUAGAACUUGGGGGGAAAUAAAAUAACAACAAUGCUAAUAACUUCCUUAGUAUGACGAGUUACUACUUCCUAAAUAAUAAUUGAUAUCUUAAACUUCCAAAUAUUAAAAUUAGAAAUUAAAGAUAUUAAUAAUAACUCUGAAGUUAAAGAGGUCUUGAAGAACAUAAAAGAUAGGAUGAGCCUGUGGCCCAAUGGUCCUUAUAUGGAAGUGCUUUGGAAAGGUUCAAGUUUGGCUAACCAAGCUAUACAAUGGCAUGCUAAAAUAGAAAAGAAUAAAAAAAGUAAAAGAGGAGCACUUUAGUUCCUGCUAUUAAGAAUAAAUGAGGAGCACUUUAGUUCCUGUUAUUAAGAAUAGAAGGAGAUAUUCAGAGGUAUAUAAACUAAAUGAGAAACGAUAAACUUUGAGAAAUUGAUUACAUGCAGACAUGGGACACUACUAAAGUGUUGAAGAACCAUUUGACUUUAUGCCUAGUAGAUCCAUAGUUUCAAAUCACGAUAGCAGCUGCAUUUGCAGGUCGUGGUUGCAGGCAUUGGAGAACAGGCUUGUAAUGGCUAUCACAUAACAUUAACGGCCAAACACAAAACAUUUUUUAAUAAGCAUAAAUUAGUUUGAGAAGGUAGCAAAUAGCAAAACUUAUUAUCUUCUAACUGUUAAAAACAUAUUUUUAUCAACAAAAAUUAUAGCUUAAAUUUUCCAUUUUUUUCAACUUCCUAUUUCAUUAAAAAUGUUGUACAAUAACUAAAAUAAGUAUUAAAUCUAAAUUCAAGAUUUAAACUUACUAUUAAAUUUAGAAGUUCUAAACUUAUUAUUAAAUUUGCUUAUCCGAAGUCUCAAAUUAUACUUGGCAUUGGCAGAACUUAAGAUUUUAUUAUAUAAUUAAUAAUGUAAAUUAAUAGAAUAGCAAAUAAUGAAAAGAAAUUUAAAAAAAUAUUAAAAAAAAAACAACACAACUUUUACAAAAACCACAUGCAGAAUACAGACAUUUAUGGUAAUUCCAAACUUAAAAGGAGAGGUUGAAGAAUUAGGAGGAGAAAUUUGAAUAAAAUUUUGAGAAGGUAGAAACUACUGCUUUGGACGGCUGCUCAGAAAUGAAAAGGAAGAGAACAGUGAGGCGAAUGCAUUAUUAGUAACAGCUGAUACCUACUUAAUAGGUAAGGGACUACUUGAAAACCAAUAAAUAAUGGUCAUUACAUGAAGGAUCUACAACAAAGCCUGUAAUUUUAGUAAAAAGAUUUAACGGGAAAUAUAUAAUGGAAAAAGGAUUUGCACAUGGUGAUCAUUGACCUAGAAGAAAGCAUACUAAUGUACCUAAGAUAAUUAUUUUGUGGGUGCUAAGGGAGAUACAAGCCAAUCUCAAAGAGGAGACAGACAACUAUAAGGCAUCAGGAGGGGACAGAAGAGUUUCUCACAACAGUGGACUUACAUUAGGGAUAGGCAUUGAAGUCAUCUUAGUUAUGGAUGAGCUGACCAGUCACAUUCAAGAUGAUAUCCAAGGUGCAUGUUAUUUGCAAAUGGUAUAAUCUUAGUGGAUUAUACUAGUGGAGUUGAUGAAAAGAUGAAGAUAUGAAGGACUCUUGCAAGCGGGCUUUAAACUAUAAAUAACAUUAAGUAUAUGCAAUGUGAGUUUAGCUCCCACAAACAAAACGGAAAUGAGAUUCAUUUGGAUAGAGUUUUUGGUGGCUAAAUGCUACCAAUUCAAGUAUUAAGUGUCUAUCAAGGUCAAUACAGGAUGGAUGAAACGGAAGAAUGAGACAGGUGUAUUAUGUGACUAUAAGAUCCUUAACAAAGCUUAGAGUAAGUUCUGCAGGACUAUGGUUAUACUAGCUAUGUUGAAUGGAAGUAGAGGUGAUCAUUUGGUUAUUUUGGUUCCAAACCGUACCAAAUUUGAUAUUGAUUCAGACUUGGUGUCUAACACAUCAAUCCGUGAAAAAUGAUCCAUACAUCCAAUCUCAACUAGUUUAGGAUUAAGGCUUAGUUGUUGUUAUCUAACAAUCCUAAUUUUAAAAUAUAAAAUUGAAUAAAAAAUUUAAUUAAAUCCUCCUUGACUCCAUCAUUAUCUCCUGAUUUGAAGAAACUCAAUCUCAACCCUUUUAGUGUUAAAGAAAAAAGAAUUGAAGUUGUUUUCCUUCACAUCCUUAGAAAUAAUAGAACAUAGUUAAUCCAUCACAAGACUAAAGUUGGAAGACUAAAUUCACUAAGAACACGAGAAUUAGAUAAGUCCUUAAUUUCCAUUGACUUCUUGACAAUGUGUUUUUCUUCUUCCCUUAGGAUCAAAGCCUCAAACUCUUGCUCAUUCACAUCAAUUCUCUGUAAUAUGUUUCUCAAAAUUUUACAACUCAAUCUUAUCACCUUGAUUUCAACAUGUAAAGCUCAAAAAUUAAAGCUUUAGACUCUUCAAGUUGCUCUUCAAGCUCUUCAUUAUCAAAUUCUUACUCGGUCUUUUUAGAGUUGUAAUUAUAUUCUCAAGAACUAAUAUAGCAUGUGGAUCAGCCUUGAGUUUAGAGUUGAAAAAUCAAAAUUAGUGAGGAAGGGUUCUGCAUAAGAUCUGUUGACAUGGAACUGACAUGGUAUCUACAAGCACACUGAACAGCAACAUGAAAUUCAGCAGCUUCCAAGAGGAUCAGACUUAAGUUUCCUAAAUAAAAAUAGAAUGCUUAAACUUCCCACAAAAUAAAAAUAGAAUUCUUAAACUUCCCACCACUAAAAUUUCUAAAUUAAAGAUCAUAAAUUUACAAUUAAAAAGAAUAACUUAUAAGAAUGGUUGCUAAACUGAAUCUUCCUUGACUCAUCAAUAAGCUACUAUUGAAUUGUGAUCUAAAAAUAAUAAGCAACUAAGUCUACAUCCAUUUAGAUCCAUUUUAGAUAUUUACCCAAGGUAAUCCAACCAUGCAGCAUAAUAUGAUUAUCACAAACUUGGCCAAUAAUCUUGACAUGGCGUUAAUUUUUCCACAUGGCAUGGCAUCACAAGGGAAUUACAGUCACAAGUAAAAAUUGAGUAUAAGAAAUUGAGCAACUAUGUUCUAUGUAGGUUGACUGGUACACCAAAAGGACAAUACCAGAAACAUGUAUUUGUUAAAUGGUGAUAACAUAGAACUAAGAUUUCCUGAAACUUAGUGUCUAGGGAGAGAAAUUUAGUCUUCAGAAGCUAAAAACAUAAUAUUGCUCAUGGGCCUUUUGUCAAGCAAAUAAGUUCUCUUUGGCAUACUUAGAAUAAGAAAAAACCACCAUCUUCUAAGUAUGCAAAUCCAUAAAUGAUAUUACCAUAUUGCAUGCAAUAGAAUUCAUUUAUUGAAGUUUAAAAAAAAUAUUUACUGAAUGAGACAAUCAUUUGUGCAUUGUGACCAAAAAUCAAAAUCAAGCUAUGUAGUAGGUAAAAUGGAAAUAUAAUUUAAAUUACCUUCCACCAUAAAGUAGAAAACCAAGAGCUGCAAACAAAGACACCCCUGCCAAUAUAUACAUGUAAGAACAAAAUAUGUUAGUUAAAAGGAUGAUGAAGUAUUGAACUGUAACAAGUUAUUGAAUAUCUGGAUUCUAGAUAUAUGGAAAAUAAAAAUAAAAAUAAAAUAAAAAAGCACCUGCAAAGAACAUCUUAGAGAUGAUGACCAGCAAUCGGGUAUCUUUCCACCAUAAAAUCAACCACAUAACAAUCUGGAAUAAUUAAAUCACAAUAAUUAAGGUUGAAACCCAGUAGUUUUGUCUAAGAUAGCAACACAUAAGCAUUCCAUGAAGCAUGCAACUGAAAAUGUAUCAACCAAGCAAUUGUUUGAAAGGAGGACCUGCAAGGAGAAUGUAUUGCCAGGAUAUACCAAGUAGAAAGUCAACAAUGCAUCACAGAAAAUUCUCAAACCUUCAAGUAAUCCUAUGAACAUUACCAUUAAAAAAGUGAACUGAUCCCAUAUUUUCAAAUUCCAAACCAUUUUUCAACUGUCUGCAAAACUGUAAGAUAAAGGGCAGGGAAACUGGAUGAUAAACCAGUUUGCAGCAUGAAGCAUGCUGAAGUGCAAUCCCAGGCCCAACACAUUGUCAUUGUCAUUGCCAGACUAAAGGUGAUCGAACAAGAUGAUUGAUUAGCACAGAAGUGCCAUUUCCUUCAAAGUAUUCUUAUGACAGCUUAAAAAUACUUUGAAAUACAACUUCUUGUGAAUAUUUGAAUUUUGAAGUAUACAGCUGUGUUUUACAUAUCUAUAAGGAGAUGCAGUGGGAUACUGUAAUAGCGGAAGUUAUUGCUAAAGCAACUACUAGCCAUAACUUAUGCAUCUACAAGGUUCUUGUACAUUACUUUCCUUGGUUUUGAAACACAAAGAAACACCUUAAGAAGUCCAUAGCAACCCUUUUAUUUGGUACUAUCAUUUGAAACUGUCUUCAUUUAUACAUGUUUGAGGUAUGGCACUAAAUUAUUUUAUCUUCUCCUCCAUUUCUUAUCACUUUUUGCCACUCUAAUCUAAUAGCAGGAUUUUUUAUCGUUCUAUUUCUUUAUUUAGUACAAUCUAUUAGUUUCUUCUAGUGGCUACUUAAAAUCUAAGGAAAUCCAUUUCCUCAAUUCUUUCAGUUUCCGACUUUGCUGCCAGAUUCCGUUAUUAACAAUUUCACAUUGCUGGAAGUAGCCUAAAAAUUCCUGCUUUUCUCUGAUACCCUGUAUUACAUGUUGUAUUAGAGCUUUUGCCGCAUUAAUUUUUCACAACCAGCUAACAGACAAAAGGAGCAUAAUAAUGCUAAAAGGUAAGAAUAAAUUUAUAUAGAGAGCAAGACUGGCUUGAAAAAUAAGCCUUUAUUGAACUUGGUGGGUAUAACAUGAUAAAAUGUAAUAAAAUAUUAAUUCAACAGAAAAAUGAAGAGAUCUAUCUUAAUAGACCCCAAUACAAUCAACAAACAAGUUUUUAUUUCAAAAUAUGGUUCUUAACUUGCAUAAAGUAAUGAACACACACAAAACAUAUCAGAUGAUCAAGCCUUGAGGCUUGAGUUCAUAAUUUUAUAAUGAUUUAUGCCAAAACUACGCAAAUUUUCCACUGCAACGCUGGACAAGUUAACUAGCAACAAGCAAGUACCAUCUACGAGGAUAUUCAGAAUAUUAUUUAGUUUAAUUCUUAGUUUCAUUGUAACAACCUACUGAUGUAGGAAUUAUUAGGGAUUUUAGGACUGUUUAUUUUAGGAAGAAAUAUUUUACUUAGAUAUUUAUGUGAUUUGUAGUUCCUAAUAAGUAUUGAAUUUAGGUUUCAUAAUCCUAACAUGAGUGAAAUACUCUACACAUUGGCCUAGUUUUUCCACAUAUUCUGGAAGCCUUUUUUAUCAGAACUGAUAUGAGCUAAAGGUCUCUACCGACCGAGAAUUUGUUUCUUACACCAUUGUUCUGCUCGUUCUAUCAAUUCCUCAUCACCUAUUCUUCAUUCCUUGCAUAUUAUAUUGCAGGUAACGAAAAUAGGCCUAUAACUAUGCAAAAUUCUCAAAAUUCAUAAAAUUAAUAAAUAUUUAAAGAUAUAAUCAAACUAACCAUUUACACAAUAGCACUUCAAAACAAUUUAGUAUCUUGGAUGAUUUGAGCUCUUCAACUUAAGAAUUUAUUGAGAAGUAGAUUAAAAGCACUUGAAGAAUCUUGAAGUUGAGAGAAAUUUUGAGAAACUUGAGAGACAGUUGAGAGAAAUCAAAGAAGGGUGAAUUUUGUCUAGGAAGGCAAGUGGAAGGCUUCAAAAUGUGAAGAAAAAAGUGUCUUCUGCCUUCAAUAAUUCAUACACUACAUGCAUGCAGUCUCCAGCAACAAUUCUAAAGGUUCCAACCCAUCAAAUGAAAGUAUCGGCCAUUAUGGCCAUUAAGUCACGACCUGUAACAGUUGUGACCGUUGUGUAAUGGCUGUAAUGGACGUUAUCAACACAAAUUUUUUCUCAUCUUGAAAUAAUAGCCUUAAUGGCCAUGGCUCCUUUGAAAACCUUUAAAUAAUGGCCUUUGUUUAAAACCAUGAUUAUGGAAUGAAGAAUCUUAAGGCAUAGUUACCUGAGUUGUAGUACUCUUAAGUCGUGGUACAAGUAUACUAAAUUAGGUAUGCAAUACACCAACUAAUGAAAUAUAGGAUACACAGCGGUACACUUAAUUGAUUUGCUACGACGGUCUUAGUUGGUAAGCCAAUAAUUUGGAGCAUAUAAAUUACAUUUAUUCAAUAUAAUAUAAUUUUUAAAUAAAUUAAAUAUGUGAUUAAUAGUUUAUAAUAUUUAUAUUUUCUACAAAUUUUUAUUUUUAACUAAUAAAAUAGUCAUUUACACUCCAAAACCAAGAUGACAUUGCCAAUUAUUCUACUAACAUGCAAAUCCACCAUCCCACUUAGUGUUUCAAAAUGUAUCUUCUUAUUCUUCUUCCUUUGCUGCAGCCUUUUUUUUCCUCCUCUUCAUCUUGUACCUAUAUACUAUUGCGCACAUGCAUAUUUAUUGAUCUUUCUUCCUUCCUUCCUUUCCAUCUUUAAUUCCUCAUUGGAACCUUUAUUUGGGCAACUUAGAUCGCAUACCCAGUGAUUUUGGACAUAAAAGUACUAUGUUUCAGUACACAACCAAGAUUGCAAUUUCCCAAGGAGGUGAGAGAAUUUGGUAACCACGCCUCUAAGGAGUCUGUUAAAUAAGGUAAGCCAAUUGGAUUUGGCUCAUGUAAGUUCCCCAUACAUGCUACACCUGCUCUCAUGAAAUAUGAGAAAAAGUUCAAUGUAAAAUACAUAGCCCACUAAAGAAGAAAACACUGAAGUACAACUUCCCCAUCCCUAUUCCCUAGGGCUAAAAUAUUAGAUUUGUUAGUUAGUUGCUACUAUCUUUCCAAGUAAAUUUUGUUGUCUUCCAACUCUUGAUUCCCUUUUAACCAGGGAAGUAAAAAAAUUUGCAUUGGCUUUAGACUCCACAAAGCCUAUGCAAAUACCAACUCAAGAAGAAGACUCGCAUUCACUCCUCUCUUUAACACUAACUCCCCUCUAGAAACAAUUUCUGAUUUGUUAAUCAAACAAUAUAGUUUUAACUAAUAAUUUCUAAAAUUUGAAAGUUCUUACCAGAAUCAAGAAUUAUAAUAGGGGUUAAGGAGGAUAAAGUCCCUAAACAAUAAAAUACAAUACAUGAAAGAAUCUACAAGGUUAUUUGCAUUUUAUAUUGUUUGUGGGUGAAACUAGUGAAUAAGUUAAUCAAAAGUAAGGAGUUGCGGAUAACAACUCUUGAGAUUUAGGGUUUUGGGCUAAGUAAAAGUAAGACAAUACAUAUGCAUUACAAACAGAACAUAUGCAUUACACAUUUCGCUCUUAUAAAAGGAAUGGAAGGGAAAUUCAACUGGAUAGCUUUUAGUUCCAAAUGCAACUAAUUCAAGUAUUCAGGUUCUAUCAUUUAGAAAUAUCAAAUAAUAAAUGAUGAUGUGUUAUAACUAUUAGGAUCAAAAGGAGGUAGAUUAAAUCGAGGAACAUGAAGGGUAUAUGACACAAUGGUACGAUCAUUGAUAAAGUGAAAGGUACGGACUGAUUGUUGAGCACCUAUAGUACAAUAUAUCUACAUGAUAAGUGUGACAAAAAUGCAAUUGUUAAGAUGGAUUUUUGGUCUUACAAUAAUGAAUGAGAAAAAAAAUAAAUGACCAUAUUCACUAGAGAGUGCAUAUUGCAAACAUCAAGCAUAAAAUGAAGGUGUUUAAUAAAAUGAUUUGAUCAUGUUCAACAUAAAGAACAAGAUAUUCCAAUACAAAAAGUGAUAAAUUAGUGAUGGAAGGAGCAAGGAGAGAGAGGGGAAGAAACCUAAAAUGGUGCAAAAGGAAAUAGUAUUGAAGGAUAUUAAUGGAAAAUUGGUAUAAAAGAAAGUUGAAUAGCAAAAAGAAAAGAUUCAUAUAACCGACCCCAACCAGUUUGAGAUUAAGCUUAGUUUUAGUUGUUGGAAGUCUUUUAGAGCCUAUCAUGUUAGAUAAUACCACCACCAUAGGAGCGAAUAUUUCACUAAACAAUAAAGUGUAUUCUCUUUACUUUGACGCAAACUUGAAUGAAAAUGAAAAUUCUCAAAUUAUUAAAUUUGGAAAAUCAUACUAGACCCGUCCCAAAAUCAACAAAGCCAACAAUUAAUGGACGAAUGUAGAUGCCAUUGUAGUCGGUGCAAUAUCAAGCUUUGCUACUAUAAAUCCCUCUUUACUUGUCUUGAUUGUUUGAAUGAGAGUAAAAGACAAGGAUUCUAAGAAUAGGGCCCCGUGGUUGCCCAAAUUGUUUCUUUGACAAAGGCCACUGGAUCCACUGCACCAAGAAAAAAAUGCAGAGGAAAAAUAGAUAAUAGAGAGCAAAAGCUUAAAAAGAGAGUUGUAGGGAGAGGGAGGAGGCAACAAGAGCAAUAUGAAAUGCAUACAGCGAAGCAAACAAAUCCCUUGUGCUAGAAUCCAAUCGGGAAUCCGAUAUUACUCGUGUUGCAGUGCCAACGGUAAAAAAAAAUUAAAAUUAAAAAAGCCACAUAUUUUACUCUUUAAAUUUUUCAAACACAUUAUAUGAAUUACUCACUUUCUCUAACUCUUUGAAUUACUCACGUCCUCUUAACUCUUUCAAACACAAUAUUUUACAUCCAUUGUGGUUUUUUAAUUAUUUCCAUCAUAUUUUUUUUUACACUGUGACACUGCCACGUAAGAAUAUUGCCAUAGAGCUUACAAUAUUCUAGCACGAGGGAUUUUAUUGUAACAUUUUAGAAGUCUUAGGAUUUUGUAAUAUCAAAAUGAAGAUAGGUGACGAAGGUGCAAUACUCUCCAAAGUUGAGGGAUAGCUAGUAAAAAUUACUCAUCCAAAACAUAGAAAGCGAAGACAAUGUUAUGCAUAAUCUAUGGUGAAUAAAGGUCAGUAAUAAUCCAAGCAAUAAAUUGAUGAGCAAUUAAAUGCGCAAGUUAAUUUUUAUUGGGUUAUAAUACAAUGCAAAAAUGGAGGGGAAAAUUUGUGUAUUUUCAGUGUUGUUAAAGGAGACACAGGCGCCUUUCAAAAGGAGCUCGCCUUGCCUCGCGAGGUACUAGGCGCCAAGCGGUCGAGGCGUCACCUAGCACCGCAUGCUUUUUUUUUUUUUUCUUAUUUUAAAGGAUUUUAAAAUUAAAACCCAAAAUUCUUCUUCUCCCAAUACCUUCUUUUGCCUUCUCCAAACAGCAGCCAGCCAACACACAGCCUUCUCCAAACAGCAUCCAUCAUCCGACACCAGUCCACAAGUAUGAGUCUUGUCUCCUUUUCUCUUUCUUCUUCUUACUUCUCCGCCCUUCUUCUCUGGAUCUCCUUCUUCUUCUUCGCCCUUCUUCUCCGGAUCUCCUCCCUUCCUUCCCUCUCAUUAUUCUCCUCCCCACAUCAUUGUCUCCACUCCCCAACCAAUCUCCAAACAUAAUGGGUGUUGUUGUGAAUCUUAUUUUUUAUUUAGAAAUUAAUUAUAAUGGGGGUUGUUGAUUUUGAUUUGUUGUUCAUUUAUUUGUGAGAAUUAUUGUUUAUUUAUUAAGAACAAUACUGAAUGGGUCAUGGGUGUUAUUGAUUUUAAAUUGUUGCUUAUUCAUAAUUUAUUUUAGUGGUGUGGCAGUGAUACUAGUCUACUAGCAUGCCUAAUGCCUUUUUAGUUAUUUAAUUUGAUUAGAUGAUAUAAAACUAUAAUUGAUUUUAUACUUUUGGUACUUGCUAUUACAUUGGAUUGUUCAUGUUUAACUUGUUUCUUGAUAUUUUAUUAAUGCUUUAUAUUAUAUUUGAAAUCUUGAUGAGUACUGAGUAAUAGACUAGGCUAGUAGUUCUAUUCAAUAGUCUUAUUUUAUAUUUUAUUAAUAAUGUUUUAUUAUAUAUUUAUUGUUUAUAUUAUUCUAAAUAUGAAUGUUAAUCUAUGUACAUUAUAUUUAUAUGCAUAUAUCUAAAAUAUGUAAAAUUUUUAGCUUCUAUCACCUUUUUAAAAAAGGCAUCGCCUCUCGCCUCGGGCGAUAGGAGGCCUUGUCGCCUUUAUAUCGCCUCUCACCUUGAUAACACUGUGUAUUUUAAAAAUUUUCCUUAUUUUUUCAGUUUCAUAGUACUUGAAAACAAGCUCACUUCAACAUGUUUUCCAAUUUUCCAAUGAAGAAAGAGAAACCAAAAAUGGAGAAGAUAACAACAAGAUAAAGAAAAAGUAAAUUGUUUCAAUUACGUAUACAAAUUCUCGGUAUUUUGAUAAAAUAAAAUAAAAAAAAAGAAAUUAAGCAAGAUUCUUAAAUUCAUGUUCUUUAUCAUGAGAAGUAUCUCCCACUACCCAAAAUUUUUAUUUAUCUUUUUAAAAAUAUUUAAUUGUGCAUGAAUCUAUAUUCUAGACAUGAAAGAUAAACUAAAUUUGUAAACAAACAUUGUUCUUAUUCUACCAUUUUGUUGGCAAUGAAGCACAUAGCAUUUCAUAAGCAUGUAAUUACUAUGCUUGAAAUAAAACUUCCUAAGAGGAUUUGAUAGGAUCAAGGACAAUUGUUUUCCUAACCCAAAUUAGGCCCAAUUUUGCAAAAAUUAACUCAUCCAUGGAACAUCUACGUAAAAAAUUAUUUUUCCUGUCAUUGGGUGAAACACUAUAAAUUAGUAAGGAAAAAAAAUUUUUUGAUAAAAAAUAAUUUGCUUAACAAACAAACAAUUUGAACCUACACAAACUUCAUUUUUCUAUUCAUAAUUGAAUAGGUAAGAAAUUAUAUGAUAAAUUGUGAUUAUCAUCCAUCAUUCACAAACAAUUAUCACGCUCCAAUUAUUAGGUUUUAUAAUUGGACUAUAGUGUGAAAUUAUUUGUUAAUACUUUUGCCACUUUUUAUCAAUAAUGGAUUUACGUGCAAAACCUUAGGAACUUCUAAGUAAUUAUCUCCUUGCUGUCCACAACCCAAUUAGACGGUAAGUACAAAAAAGUACCAUGUGAUUUCACAAUUUUACAAUUAAGCCUCUUUUUUGCAGCAUUUUCAUUCUGUGGGAGUUUGUACUAUUAGCACUUAAGUGCAAAACAUACACUAUUAGUUCACGAUUGUGUUUGAUCAUAUUUUAGUUGCUACAAUGGAAGUAGUUUUCUAAUAACAUUUACAAAUAUAAAUGCAAUUUGUGAAUAAACAUGAUUGGACUCCAUAAAAUAUUAGAUUAUGGUAGAUAGAAUCACAUGCAAUCCAUAACAAUUCACUAUUGCUCCAUUCUAUUUUCAGACAUGUUACCAUUUGCCCUCCCUCAAUGGAAAACCACAUCCACCACAUCAACCCAACUUUUACCUCAUGUCUAUAUAACAAUCAUGAUAUCCAUAAUAUAUGGCAAAAGUUCCUACACUUGACCUAACAUGAAUAAGACGACAUAUGAUAAACCUUACAUUUGUUUAUAUGUAAUAUACCUAAUUGUAGCAAUCCAAACAUUUUUAGAAAAAAAAAAACUAAAUAAGGAAAACAUUUUAUAUCCCAAGAGACUACUUUAUGCGAAGCUGGUCCAUUGAAAUAAGCUCAAUUAGACCACUUACAAAUUUACUGAUUGGCUUCAUGUUAAAAGUUGUGGCUAGUUUAGUGUGCCAACUAACUUGUUAAAGCAUGCCACACGCACAUCACCCAUGCUCUUCAACAACAUUAAAAAAAUAAAUAAAUUAAUAAAUCAAACACACAGAAAAAUAAGCAGAAUAUAUCUUAUACCAAUAAGAACUUUUUCAUAAAAUCAUGGCUUCCAUAAGCAGAAGGGAAUUGGAUUCAAAUCCUCAAUUUCAGUUGGACUAUUUCGUACAGUGAAACAGAAUUUUAAAAAAAAAAAUUACCUGAAUGGCAUAAACUACUGCAUUAAUUGUGAAGAAACUCGGCCUAAGUCCAUCAGUAGAUACAGCACGGGCCUGCUCAAUAUACAACAAUUAAUAGAGCCAACUUAAUCCAAUGCAGACUGAAAAACAAAUUAAACAGACUGUUAAGAAGCAUCACCUGAUAGUAUAUUUCUGCCCAGAACAAAACCAAAAGUGCAUAUGUUGUGAAGAAAGCAAGACUUGGCAAAUCAAGUAAGACAUGUUGGAGAAUCUAACAAAGCAUAUAUCAUCACGCUAGGGAUUAGAAUUGUUAGAAAGAGAAAAUUAGAACGGUGAUUCAAAGCUGGAAACUAACCGAUGGAUGUAUAGUUUCUAUAUCUCGGCGAAAAAUGAAUACAAGACAGCGAACUACAAGGUAGAAGAAAGCAGAAUCAAUAAGAAAACAGUAUAAUCAAGGCAUGAUAAAUGAAGACAAUAUAUGAAAGUUCAAGGUAUCCAGCACAAACCCCCAUUCACCAGGAAAUUGAGAAAGUGGAAAACCUUCUGUGUAGUCCAACCAUACUCUGGAACUCUCAAUUGUAUCCGUACCAGUUGAACCUAAGCACCAAUAAUUUCUAAGAUGUAACACCAACAAAAGAGGGGCAAAAGACAAUUACGUACAUUGCAUAUGGCAAUAGACGAAAAUUAACCCAGUAAAUCUAACAUCAAUAACCAUCCGUUCAAUUUGAAACCCUAGAAUCCUCAGUGAACUGAACACUAAUCCCCCGAUUCCCAAAUUGAAGCCCAACAUAAUUAGCUAAAUUAUAAAUGAGGUCAGAAAUUAAAUAAUUUAUUAAGCAAUUGAUCAUUGAGGUGAAAAAUAUUGACUAACUGACCUUUCAAAAUCCAAAUUACAAACUUUGAAAAAAAAAAUAUAUAAAAUAAAAUGAGAGAGAGAAAGAGAGAGAGUAAAAGAGAGGCGUACCAAAGCAACGGCGGCGACGAAGCCAUAAAGUGCGGCAAGAACGUGAAAGAUCCGAUCCUGCCACACAAUCGAUUCGUUUAUCUCUUGCCACCAACUGGAUGCGUCUCUCAAUUUGUAGGCUAUAAUCGCCGGAAAUUCUACUCCGUUCCUCCCCAUCCCCUCGAUCACCUAACCUCGCCGAAGAUUGAUAAAAACUGAAACUCUUCCUUAGAUUUUUCGAAUAACUACACUAUAUGUAUUAUUACAACAAGUAAGAAGGGAUCCGUUCACGUUCGUUCCUUCUUCUGUUUCUUUGCCUUUUUCUAAACUAGUUCUGUUUAUUAUCGUCCGGAAUAUAAAUGGAGGUGAAGAAAAGGCCGGCGAGAAGGAAAAGAAGGUUGGACGGGGGCGGGGGAUUUUCUCGAAAGAAAGGUAAGGUAACCGGCUAUAACCGGUGGUGUUAUCUCGGAUGAAUUUUAAGAUUACGUUUUUUAGUUUAGACUUUCCAGGUAACAGUUAUAGGUGCAUUCCACGUUCUCUUAAAUUCCCACGUUGCUUAACACUGGCUUACGGUGACCUAGGACAGGUGUGGCCUAUAACCAUCCCAAUAGCCAAAUGCGAUGCAUAUAUAAAUUUGUACUUUCAAUCUCAUGAGAGAUUAUCCAAUAUUUUUCAUCCAAUUUAUUGAAAAUUACAAUAAUUAUUUCCAAUAAUUAAUGAUUAUUUAAGGACAGAUAAUACUCUUUUAACUAAUAAGAUUGAAAGAGUUGAAUAAUCAUUUAAAAAUUAUCGCUAGCAUUUCUUUUAUUCAAAAUUUACCUUAAAAAAUUGUGGCUGCACUUUGAAUUAAUUUAUUAGUAAACUCAAAAUAAUUUCAUAAUCUAUGCUAAUAUAUAUAAAAAAAAAAAAACUUAAUGGCCUAAAUUUACUAUUCAUGAUCAAUAUCUAAUAAUAAUAAUUGCAUAUACAAUUUAAAAUAAACAAAAUUGAAAGUGACUCAUAUUUUUACAUUUAAAAAAAUUCUCUCUAAAUUCAAAUUAGUCAAUAAUAGUUUAAAAAUAUUAAUGAUAUUUGUUGAUUAGAUUGCCAUGUUAUUUUAAUUGUACUUUUUGAUUGUUCAAGUACACGUCCUAAGACUGUUUCCAAAAUUUAAGGCUUCAUAGAACUUUUAUUUUUGUUAAAUUUUAAGAGAGCAAAAAUGCAUUUAAUUUGUCGGUGGUGGCACUGGCUAUGCAGUCAGAAUGAAGCUAGCUCACAGUGGUUAGGAGUUUAUAGACCGAUAGGAUUGUGAACUUUGGUGCUAUGCAUAAUACUAUUUCGAAUCUAUGGUGUCCAAGAAAAGGCAUCUAUAUGUAGGAUUUCAAGCAGAAUAGGUGUUUGAUGCAGUUCUUUCGGACCGCUACUAGCAUUAGGGUUCAAAUCGAUUUAAGGUCGCUAAAGCCAGUAGUAAACCUACUGUACAUCCUGUUAUACCUGAUAUAAUCCCAUACAUAAUUAUACGAUUUAACAAAAUAUAUAAAUAUUUCAUGAACCAAAACUCGACCUGUGCAUGUAUCAAAACUAAAAUUAUAAAACUCAUACUAGAGCCCUCAUCAAAUGCUCCAGUAUGGUCAACAUAACAUGUCUCAAGCUCAGUUCAAACAUAAAUUCAUACUUAAAACUUUUACAUAAAGGGUAAUGAAAACAGGGAUUAGAAGGACAAAGCACAAUUAUAAUCCAUACAUAAUACAUGUCCACAACUAUACUAUUACAAUAGACUAUACCAGCAACUCAACUAACUUCCCAAACUAACUCUGAUCCUGCAAACCUGGGGUUAGGGGAAAGGGAUAAACUACAAGAGUCUAGUGAGCAGAACAUAAAAAGAGUUCAAUAAAUAUAUGAUUGUAUGAAUGCGUCACAACACAAACAAUUCAUAUCAAGAUGGACAUGUUACCGGUAACCCUCUACAAAUUUUAAUAGUGCUCGGCCCACGACGGGUGCUCCUCAGAACUUCUUCUUAAACAUAUUAUAACAUGUCCAUAAUGUCAGGGGCGUAGAAUGGACAGUCAUGGUCUUUCCCUUACAUAGUGCCAGGGGCAUAGAAUUGACAGCCCUGAUCUUUCCAUAUCCAUCAUAGCAUAUCAUAGCAUAUCAUAACAUACUCAAUGACCAGUGGGUCAUCCAACAUCCAUCCACAAUAACAAUAAAUUAUGCAAUGCGUCAUAUUUGUGAAUUCUAAUGUAAACAACUUAAUUACAUAUACAUGACAUUCGUGAUGCAUGAGCAUGCUUAAAAGGUUUGAUUUCUUUAAAAUACUAGAUCAGUUCAGUUUUACUCACCUCUGGCUGACGCUCGCCUAAAACUGAAGUAAUUAUCUCACUGCAGGCCUCUACGGUCUUCCAAGUUCGAUCCUACACAGAUGGACUUAAAUAAGGGACCAAACAUAACUUUUACAAUACUCAAAACAACCCCCUAAAAACCCCUAUAAACAUACAAGAAUAUACAUAGAAAUCAGGCAAAAAAAGGCUGGGCAGGAGACUUUCGGCGACAAGUUCGACGGCCGAAGGUCCCUCACAGAUCCAAAAGUCAAAACUUUCGGGGGCAGGUUCGGCGACCUAAAGCCCUUUACAGAUUCGAAAGUCAAACCUUUGGGGGCAGGUUCGACGGCCUAAAGCUCUCAUAGAUCCGAAGGUUGAAACCUUUUGGGGCAAGUUAGGUGGCCUAAAGCCCUUCACAGAUCCGAAGGUCAUGCCUUCAGGAGCAGGUUAGGUGGCCUAAAGGCUGCCUCCGUAGGUAGGUUUGGUGGCCAAACCUUACUUCGGCAGCCGAACUUGGGUUUUCCAGCAAGGCAAAAUCCGAUUUUGCCCUAAGCAAGCAUCCACCAACAGCUCCCUUUCUCACAUGCAACAGCUCAGAAACAAAGGCACACACAUAACAUGUAUAAAUUACAUCUAGAUCUAACCUAAUCCUCAUCAUGCAACAUCAACAACUCGAGAGAAAAUACCCAAUAACAACCCUAAGCUCAACCUUUCGACUUAGAGGAAAAAUUUAACUUGCAUGCAUCAACAAACCCCCCUAAAACACCUAUAAAACUUGCUGAAACCUUUAGAAAACAGGAUAAAGGUGAAGAUCAAACUUACCUCUUGAAAAACAGCAAGGUGACAGCAAGCAAGGGGUGGGCUUAGAGAUAGAGAGAUGAGUUCCGAGGGUUCCAAGAGCUAGAGUUUCGAAAAGCAACUUAAACUUCAAGCAUAAAAACACGAAUUCUUUAAGGAAUUUGGAGAAAUUUCAGCAAAAAUGCCAAAGAGAUUGCAUGAAAUCACCUUUGCUCAAAAAUAGAGAAAGAAAUCUCGUAUUUUCGGGUUGAUGGCCUUUAUAGGUGGCUGAGAAAACCACGUUCAGCGGCCGAACUUUAGGAUUCCUCUAAAACUCUUUUCUCUUUUCUUUUAACACGAUUCCAAAAAGUUUCAAAUUUAUUUUAUGAAAAUCUUAUUUUGCCCUUCUAAAGAUUCCAGUUUCGGGAUUCUGAAUUCCAAUAGAGAUUCUGUCGAAAAGUGAAAAUUCUGACGCCGGAGUUUAGCUGAGUAUUAUACCCCUUCCACUUAUUCAUGUCAACGUUGCAUCUACAUUAAUAAAAUAAGAAUAAAUAUAUUAUUAAUAUGUCCCAUAAUGGAGAAGAAGAAGAUAAUCGAGAAGAUAACGAUGAUAGCAGCUUUAGUAGCGAAGAGGAUGAUAAUCUUAACGGUUAAGUAGAUACUUUAUAUGUACAAUAAUAUAGUUAUACUUACUAUUAUUAUUCAAAACUUAAUGAUGCGCUUAAUUGUAUCUUUUAUACCAUUUGUUAGUUAAUUUGGAAGUCAUAUAACCAAGGCUAGAAGAUCCAAUAUUUCUAUGUUUAAUGAACAAGUAGGAUUCAAAUACAAAGUAGUAAGUUAUCAUUAUUUUGAUUUUAUUUGCUUGAUAUUUUUAAUUCAUUCUUACUUCAUUUUAUUUAUUUCAUGCAAUAGAACAUUCAUGUACAAUUUCUUAAAAAUUAUAUUGGAAAUCAAAGGAAGAUGGCAGCAAUUUACAGCAAUGAGAAACAAAUAUAUUGGAGGUGUAUGUAUGUGCCUAGACUGAUGCUAUAGGAGUUAUGAAUAAAGGAAGAUUUGAUAGUAGAUGGCUUUAGUUUGUUGCUGCAUAUGGGUUAAGGAGAAUAGAUACGGUUGAGUUUGUGCUUACAGCAAAUGCUUCUCAGCAUCUCUAGUUUUAUACCAUCAUCCAUAGCGAAGAAGAUGAUUCUCACUCCAUUUAAUAAUUGUGGAACAAUAUAAUAUGAUGUUUAUAUUUACAUAUAUUUUGGACAAAUUUGGAAUAAUAUAUAUAUUUAUGUAUAUAUAUUUUGAUGUUAUAUAUCGGGUAAUCUUUAUUUUAUGAAUUUUUCCUUUUUUUUUAUGUUAUUAACAUGUUUAUUGCAUGAGGAUUAUAUGUAUAUUGUUCAAUGUCUUUGUGAGCACUCCAAAUAUAUUAAUCAACAUGCCAUUGGAGGUUAAAUUAGAUAUGAUAAGUACAAAUACUGAAAAUUAAAUCAAUAGAAAAAUAAUAUCAAGAUAUUAAACUCAUCAAAAUCAUGCGUAUCAUCAGAACACUUAGCAUUUCAUACAUGAUAUUUACAUGUAACUUGUCAUACAAUAAAACUUUCCCAACUGAUCCUUUAAGUAUAAAUUAAUUUCAAUUUAUUAUACCAUAUCAUACAGCCAGCACUACAAGAAUUUUAAAAAUUACUAACGGAAAUUUCCGUUAGUAAACAUAGAUGUUCCAUUAGUGAACAAUUUCACUAACGGAUCUGUGACGGAUUCAUUCCGUUGGUAAAUUAUUUACUAACGGAAUUUGUAUCCGUUAGUGUCACUAAUGGAUCACCAAUGGAAAUGUCCAUUGGUGACACUAACGGAUUCCAUGUCCGUUAGUAUGUGAAUCGCUUUCUUUACAUAUGCUUCACUAACGGAAUUUGCGUUAGUAAUCCGUUAGUGAAUACAAAAUGGCGUUGUUUUCCUUUGCGACGGAUAUGGAUCCGUUAGUGACACCAACGGAAAGUCUGUUGGUAAUCCGUUGAUAAAUCAUAAAAUUAUAAAAUCAUCCCUAUAUUUUCAUACAUUAUUAAAAUACGCCAUGCACCUGUACCUGUACCCUGUACAUUCAUAUACAUCCAUCAUCAUCAUCCUGGACAUUAUUAAACUAUAUACAUAAAAAACCAAAUUAAUCAUUAAAAUAUAUUUAAAACUUAAAGAUUUUGUACUACAAUUAUAAUUUGAAAUAAAAAUUACCAACUGGUCAUAACAAAAGAUACAUACUAAACUAAACUAGCAAGCUCAUCAUCUGUAUCAUCAUCAUUGUCUGUAUGUGAUCACCAAUGACAGGGACAUCAUCAUGCCACUGCUGUGGAGACGGAGCUGGAGGUGCCCUAGGAGCAGAUGUCUGAGUGGAUGUCCCAAUACCUUAUUGUGCCAUCAUCCUAUGCAUAAACGCCUACAACUCCUCCACCACUGUGGUAAUUUGACCAUUCUCUGUCUCUAGCCGAUCAAUUUUAUUCUGCAUCAUAUUCAUUGUUUCAAUUGUAGAAGGAUCCAUUGGGGGUGCAGACGUGUAUGAAGCGAAACAAUGAGAUGGCUCAUGAAAAUAUGCAGAAGCCUGGGACCCUAAUCUAUAAACUCGACUCUUUUUCUGCCCGCCAACUGCUUCGUAGUAAAGCUGUGCCUCAUUUAUGGGUGUCGGCUCAUUGCUUCCCUCUUGUUGCUGUGUUGCUGCCUCCUUUAGUUGUACAUAUUUAUCCUGCAUUAUAAAUUUUAAAUAACAUAUUAGUAAAACGAUUUAAGUACAUCAAAAUUAUUUAUAACUAUAUUUAUUAUCAACUUACAUAAAUAGCUUUUGACCUAGCAUCAACAAACUCCUCAGUCCCCUUUCUCUUAUGUGUGGCCUCGAAAUGCUCAUAAGGAUGUGGUUUUCUUCCUAGUCUUUCUCUCUGUUACCAAUUAUAAGAAGGAUAACAAUUAGCAUCGCAAAAAAAUAUUAAUAACAAAUAAAUAUUAAAGGAAUUACUAAUACCAUCAUCUGCUGGUGGGUAUACUGUGAAAUUGAUCCGCAAGUGUGCCUGGAAAUGCUAGAUCCUAACCCUCCAGCCUCGCUACGCCUAUUGGCAGAAAACUUGUCACACUUCUCUUUAUAUUCAAAAGUGUUCCAAGUUUCUUGCCACUUCCUCAAAACAGAAUCUGGUGUAGCCAGAUUCUUCGUCUUCCCUUUCCUGAUUUCCCACAUUAAGCCCAUGUAUCUCUCAGCAGCCUUUUUCUGCCAUGCAAUUUUGACCAAGCUGUCAAUUGGUUGGUCCCAUAGGAAGUAUUUCUGCAAAACGAUUAAAGUAUAUAAAUAGUUAGUAAUUACAUAUUUCAUAUUAUAGCUCAAAAUGCUUAAAGAAUUAUGCUUCACCUUGAAUUCCUAUCAAUAAAACUCCUUAGUGUCAUUUGGCACUGUCUUCUAACAGUGCCCUUCCGCGACCAAUCUUUCUUUUAUUAUCAGAGUAAUUCUGUGACUGCACAUCUCCGACGGAUGUAAACUACAUGAACAACAGUGAGUUAGUAUAUGGAAACAUUGAAAUUAAUCGUAAUUAAGAAAUAAUUAACUAUUACUUAUUAUUAAUGAGUGAAAUGGUCUGUCGGAAUGACUAUGUACCGCCUACAGCAGUGGUCAAACUCGCAGAUGCUGGAGCAAAUGAUGGAGUAGAUGCUGAUGCAGAUCGUGUCCCUCUAGCUGAUACAGUAGCAGAAGAGGAUGUAGGUUGAGCUGACUGUGAAUGUGAUACUGAAGGUCGUGGAGCUGGAGUGGGACGGUGAGGAGCUAUAAUGUGACGGUGAGGAGGUGGAAGGGGAUGGGGAGGCAAUGCAUCGGUACAUGGUGGCACUGGUGGACAUGAUAGAUCCCUAGGACAUGGCUGUACACCGGAUGCAAGUGGUACCCAUAUCUGAAGCUCCGUAUUCUCAAGUCCCAUCGAUGUCCAUAGUAACUGCAGCUCAUACUCUAGUACGUCAUCUGCAAUCGCCUCCUCUUGACUUGUAUGAGCAGGAAGUCGAACCGGUCCUCUGGGCUUCUUAACCCUUCCACGUCCCCUCAUCUGUGAACAAAAAAAAAUAGUCAAUGCAAAUUGAACUUAAAAUAAAGUUCAUAAACAUUAAAUUAAAAACGUACAAACGUAGUAAGUUACUCACUGAGAAAUAAUGGAAAUAUACUACUCCAAACUGAUUUAGAAUAUAAAUUAAUUCAUUCUGAUACAUACGAAUCGAGCUCAUUAUCACCUUCUACAUCUGCAUCAGAAUCAGGGUCACUAAGAAACUCAUCUUCAUCUGUCGAAACAUCAUCAUGAAUCUCAGUCAUUCCUCCACUAGGAUCAUUCAGGCAGUGUUGUUCAGUAACAUCAUCCAGAUUUACUUCUGCGUAAUCAAUCUCAUCUUCUUGAAAAGGUUCAUAUGUCAUUGAAGACGUUUCAGAUACUUCAACAACGGGUUUACCUUUAACUUUCAUCACAGCCCACCAAUCAUUUUUGUCACGACGCUUGCUUGAGUAUGAAGCGUAAACGACCUGUAUUGCCUGAGAGGCUAAUACAAAUGGCUCGUACUUAGUGUAUCUUCGUUUAUUGUUAACAUCGACUAUUCUAUACUGUCUAUGCACCUUGGUACCCAUAUUUGGUGUCGGAUCAAACCAGUCACAUUUGAAAAGUAUAGUCCGCUUAAUUGGUAAUCCUGGAUACUCCAACCGCAACACCUCAACCAUCUGUCCAUAGUAGUCACUUUCUUCAUAACUGUAAUUACUUCCUUUUAUACAUACACCAAAAUUCAUUGAGUUAGUACUUGAAUUUCCAUUGAUUGUGUUGAAUUUACAUCCAUUAACACAAUACCCAUCAAAAGUGGUGACACUUCUGAGUGGUCCAUUUGACAGAUUUUGUAUAAACUGAUUAUCUACAUUGUUCUGCACUUCAUGGGCAUACUUGUAAAACCAUUGGCCAAACUCUCUCUCCAGUUUUUCAUCAACAGCUGCAUCUGUGAUAUUUGGUUGUGUCGACUUUACUCGCUCUACAUAUAUGCUAUACAUACAAAUUAACAAGUAAUGUUUAACAAUAAUGUACAAUAUAAGAGGAAUUAUACUAUUCAUAUAACUAACAAUACUUACUCAAUAUAUGUUUUCACUUCUGGACAAUUUAAGAAAAUAUAUGUUUGAGCAGCUCGGAUUUCAUCUUCAGUCAUAUAUCUCGAUUUUUCCUUUCCGAUAGUUCUACCUGUGCAUUUGAAUAUGCUUAAUUUACCCGGUACAUCGUCAUCGGAGACAAAUUUAUGCAAGUUGCGUGGAACCUUUUGAUGUCUGGUCAUUACAUGUGCUUCAAAAUAAUGAGCAGAAAAUGCACCUGCUUCUUCUACCAAGUAAGCAUUGCAUAUUGAACCUUCGACCCUUGCUUUAUUUUUGACAUUGUUCUUUAACUUUCUCAGGUAUCUAGUAUGUGAAAACAGAAAUUAGAAAUAUAUACUAAGUAAAUCAUCAUGCUGAGCAUUAUAUGUAAACAAUUAGUAAGUAUACCUCUCAAAUGGUAUGCACCGAUAUUGUACUAGUCCUGCAAUUAAUGCCUCAUAUGCAAGGUGUACUGAUAAAUGUUCUAUUGAAUCAAACAGACUUGGAGGAAAUACUCGUUCACGCUUACAAAGGAUCACAGGAAUCUGUUCAUUUAACCGUUGCAUGUCCUAAUUAGUAAGUGUAGUUGAAGUAAGUUCUCUAAAGAAAUUGCUAAGCUCUGUUAUUGGUUGCUAAACAUUAUUCGGUAACAAUUUCUCUGAGAGCUAUAGGAAGAAUUCGUUGCAUGAAAACAUGACAGUCGUGGCUUUUCAUACCAAAUAGUCUAAGCUUUCGACUAUCAACACAUCUCCCUAGAUUGGAAACAUAUCCAUCAGGGAAUUUUAGUGUUUUAAGCCAAUCACACAACACCAUCUUUGAUUGUUUAUCCAAACAAUAACUUGCUUUUGGAUAUUUUUCGCUGAUUGGAUCUUUCUUCAAUUCUGGUCUCCUGCAUAUUUCAUUUAAAUCUUUCCGUGAUUUUAUAUUGUCUCUCGUCUUCCCCACUACACUCAUCACUGUAUUAAAAAUAUUUUCAAAAACAUUCUUUUCAAUGUGCAUUACAUCAAGAUUGUGACGAAUCAUGUUUGAUGACCAAUAUGGCAAAUCCCAUAAUAUGCUCCACUUAUGCCAACCAUUUGUCUUUGAAAGCCGACCAUUUAUUUUAUGACUGUCAAUAUCUAUUAUCCGCAUCAACCCAAUUUGCUCAAGUUGUUUUAACAAGAAUUCCCCAGUUCUAAUUGGCGGCGGUGACUUGGAGACAAUUCGGUUUUUAAUAAAAGAUAUCUUGUUUCGACAAAAAGGGUGGUCGUCAGACAAAAACUUUCGAUGACUGUCAAACCAUGUUUGUUUACCCCCCUUUUUAAUGUAAAUGCAUCUGUGUUUUUCAUACAAUAGAGACAUGCAGUGCGUCCUGCUGUGCUCCACCCUGAGAGCAUUGAAUAAGCAGGGAAGUCACUAAUAGUCCAAAUUAAAGCAACACGCAUGCUAAAAUUGUUCUGCUGGAAAGCAUCGUAAGUAUUCACACCAAUUUUCCAAAGUUCUUUCAAUUCCUUCACUAAUGGUUGCAUGCAGACAUCAAGCUUCUCUUUUGGAUUCUUGGGACCAGGUAUGAUAAUUGUCAGGAACAUGUACUCAUCUUUCAUACACAUACCUGGUGGCAAAUUGUAUAGAGUUAAUAUUACUGGCCAUGAAGAAUACUGUUGCCUAGAUUGACCGAAUGGUUGAAAUCCAUCAGUGCAAAGGCCGAGUCUGAAAUUUCGGGCCUCUAUUGCAAAGGUUGGAUGAGUUUGGUUGAAAUGCUUCCAAGCAGGAGCAUCUGAACAAUGACGCAUCACCCCAUCCUCAUUUGCAUGGUCAUUAUGCCAAGUCAUAUACUUAGCUGUAACACAAGAUGCAUAAAGUCUUUACAAACGUGGUGUAAUGGGGAAGUAAUACAUCUUUUUGUAUGGUAUUAGAGUCUUCCCUUUCCCCACUAUGUGCUUGAGUCGUUUGAACCUUGCAUGGUCACAAAAUUUGCAUCUGGUAAGUUCUGUAUUAUUUUCCCAAUAAAUCAUACAACCAUUAACACAACAGUGUAUCUUUUGUACAGGAAACCCUAAUCCUUGCACUAGUCUCUUUGUUGAGUAAAAGCUGUCCGUCAUGACAUUGUCACUCAGUAACAUCUCCUUCAUAAAUUUACAAAUCUGAUCAAAACACCGUUCUGAGAAAUGAUGUUCUACCUUUAGAUUUAGUAAACGUGAAACAACUGAUAAUUGAGAGUGAGUUUCACAUCCAGGCCAUAGUUCUUGCUUAGCUGCAUUUAAUAUAUCAUACAGUUUCUAUGCAGCUGAGUUUGGCAUCUCAUAUGUAUUAUUAUUUAUUAUAUGACAGCUUGUUGCAUCUAUGACCAUGUCCUCCAACCGAUUGAAAUUUGGGUGAUUAACACUAUCAGAACCAUAAGACAUGUCUAAUAGUGCAUCACCAGAUCCGUCAGGCACUUCAGUUUCACCGUGCAAAUACCAAACAAGGUAAUUUUGCACAAAACCAUGCUUCAUUAAAUGAUAUUCACUGUAUUUUCAUCUUAAAAGCUACGGUUCUGACACCUAAAUCGAUUGCAAGAACAGUGAAUCUGAUCGCCAUUUAAAUAAUCUGGGCAGUUCUUAGCCUUCUCUAUAAAUUCAUUAAUCCUCUCUAAAUAUCUGGGAUUAAGUAAACCAUCUCUGAGACUAGAUAAUGCACCUGCUGGUGCACUUGCCAAGUGCACCAGCAGGUACACUAGAAAGAAAUCACAAAUUUCAAGAAAUCACAAAUUUCACAAAAAUCAAAAAUUUCAAAAAUAUCAAACAUUUCACAAAAUUUUCACAAGACUGGAGUACAUGAUUAAGGCAGAAUACGAAUUAGGUAAAACAUGAAUCAAAAAUCAAGCGGAACAUGAAUCAUGAAGAAAAUAGCGCACCUGUGGACACUGUCUGUCGAGAAUGGCAAGACUGGAGAGAGAGAAGGGCUCACUCGUGGACCGUGAUGCCGAAAAGGGUGCACCUGUCGAUGGUGGAUGGCGGCGGCGGUGAAAGACUCAGAGGUUGGCCGCAAAUUCGGAUUUCAGAGAUAUUUUGAUUUUCCAAGCACAUGAUCUAGGAAUUUCAGUAAGGAUAUUCUGUAUUUAGGUUUAUAAUUCACUAACGGAUGAUUGGUCCGUUAGUGAAAAAAACAUUAGAUAAAAAAAUAAUAAAAUCACCUACGGAUUUCUAACGGAAAAAUGUCCGUUAGUAUUUCACUAACAGACCUGUGACGGAUGGUUACGAGCGUAUUCUUCACUAACGAAAAUACUAACGGUUAUGUACCUCCGUUAUUGGAUAAUACAUUUUUCAUGUUCUGUUAGAGAUAACUGUUAGUAUCACUAACGGACUUCAAUCUGUUAGUGAAGUCCGUUAGUGAUCAAUUGAAUUCUUGUAGUGUAGUAUAAUCGUAGUUUAUAUCUUGAAACUAUAAUAAUUUGCAUUGGGCUAACCAACACUCAUUAAUCAAACUAAAUUAUUGUGCCAUUCAUAAUGUUAUGUCUUCUAUCUCUAUAUAAAAUUACUAAACAAACCUAAAUAUUACAUCCUUUUACAUCAAAAAGAUUCCCAUAUUACUAUGUCUUUCUUCAAUGGCAACCAGUACUCCUGUGAAGAAAAGUAACAGCAAAUAGACUUUACUAGCAUCUCUAACAACUUUAGAAACCAUGUAUCAAAUUACCAGAGGCCUUCUGGAUCUGAAAGAUGAAAUCAAGAACUUUCUAAAGAGAAUAGUAAAAUAAUAUGGAGAAGAAGAUAUUAAAGUCUUUAUGUUUUAGGAUUAUCCUCUUAUCAAUGUAUAUGAAAUGAUGAUGGAAUUUGUUGAAGGUGAAAAGAAAGACAUUAAAAAGACAAAAGUUGUGCAAUUUUCUGGUGAUUCAUCUGAAUUUUGAUGGAAUUGAAUAUCUUUUAUAAGAUAUUUCUUGUUAUCUUUUUUAUUAUUAUUAUGAAGGUAAUUUUGGAGUAUCUAAUAUGAUCAACUAUGAUUAAUGAUACUUCAUUUUUAUUUAUUUUUUCUAUAUUACUGUAUUUCUUUUUUUUAUAUACUUUAAAUGAAACCGUGAUAUAUUUUUUUUUAUGACAUUGUUGGUUUUAUAAACAAUUUAUUUUGUCAAACGGCAUCUUUUGAUAUUAUUAAGAAAAGUAAGAAGCUUACAUUUUAAAAUAUCUUUGAGAUUAAAAUUAUUGAAAGAUAUGAUCAUAUACAGCCUAAACUGAAAAGCAUACAACAAUUGAUAAAAAAAAAAACAAUAAUUCUAAGAUAUAAUUGAAUAACAAUAUAUCCACAUUAGUGAAUCAAAUGUAAGCUUAUAUGAGCACUCAACAAUAUAGAUGUUUUAGAAUGAAAAAAAAAACUGAUAUAGCAAAAAAAAUUAAUUACUCAACCUUAUAAUCCAUUUAUCAAACAUUUCAUAGACAUAAAAAGUAACCAAAUCUAUUAAUAAUUAAUUUUUUUUGACAUAAUACAACCACUAUAUAUCCCAACUAAUAAAGUAAUAACUAAAAUAUUUAUAUUUGUUUGAUUAUAUUCACUGUCUUUCUUUUUUUCUCCUGCAAUAGAUGUUGCAAAAAUGUUAUUUGAUGAAGAUUCUCCAACUAAAUAUGAUCUUCCAUUCUUUUUUGACUCAAUAUAAAGUUAUACGCUUCAAUAGCCUCUUUUUUAGUCUCAUAAGAUUUGAAUACGUUUUUACUAAUGCCCACAAUAUUCUGUGAAUGUUCAUGCCAAUAAGUGUAACUUUCAUGUUUAUAACCUUCAAAAAUAACGUAAUACUUGUUUUGCAUAUUUCUUUCUUUAUCCAUUAGCAAAUUCAAGGCAGAAUACGAGAAGG
rnacentral:lncRNA from 1 species